rnacentral:rRNA from 1 species
GACGAACGCUAGCUACAGGCUUAACACAUGCAAGUCGAGGGGCAUCAGGAAGAAAGCUUGCUUUCUUUGCCGGCGACCGGCGCACGGGUGAGUAACACGUAUCCAACCUGCCCUUUACUCGGGGAUAGCCUUUCGAAAGAAAGAUUAAUACCCGAUGGCAUAAUGAUUCCGCAUGGUUUCAUUAUUAAAGGAUUCCGGUAAAGGAUGGGGAUGCGUUCCAUUAGGUUGUUGGUGAGGUAACGGCCCACCAAGCCUUCGAUGGAUAGGGGUUCUGAGAGGAAGGUCCCCCACAUUGGAACUGAGACACGGUCCAAACUCCUACGGGAGGCAGCAGUGAGGAAUAUUGGUCAAUGGGCGCUAGCCUGAACCAGCCAAGUAGCGUGAAGGAUGAAGGCUCUAUGGGUCGUAAACUUCUUUUAUAUAAGAAUAAAGUGCAGUAUGUAUACUGUUUUGUAUGUAUUAUAUGAAUAAGGAUCGGCUAACUCCGUGCCAGCAGCCGCGGUAAUACGGAGGAUCCGAGCGUUAUCCGGAUUUAUUGGGUUUAAAGGGAGCGUAGGUGGACUGGUAAGUCAGUUGUGAAAGUUUGCGGCUCAACCGUAAAAUUGCAGUUGAUACUGUCAGUCUUGAGUACAGUAGAGGUGGGCGGAAUUCGUGGUGUAGCGGUGAAAUGCUUAGAUAUCACGAAGAACUCCGAUUGCGAAGGCAGCUCACUGGACUGCAACUGACACUGAUGCUCGAAAGUGUGGGUAUCAAACAGGAUUAGAUACCCUGGUAGUCCACACAGUAAACGAUGAAUACUCGCUGUUUGCGAUAUACAGUAAGCGGCCAAGCGAAAGCAUUAAGUAUUCCACCUGGGGAGUACGCCGGCAACGGUGAAACUCAAAGGAAUUGACGGGGGCCCGCACAAGCGGAGGAACAUGUGGUUUAAUUCGAUGAUACGCGAGGAACCUUACCCGGGCUUAAAUUGCAGUGGAAUGAUGUGGAAACAUGUCAGUGAGCAAUCACCGCUGUGAAGGUGCUGCAUGGUUGUCGUCAGCUCGUGCCGUGAGGUGUCGGCUUAAGUGCCAUAACGAGCGCAACCCUUAUCUUUAGUUACUAACAGGUUAUGCUGAGGACUCUAGAGAGACUGCCGUCGUAAGAUGUGAGGAAGGUGGGGAUGACGUCAAAUCAGCACGGCCCUUACGUCCGGGGCUACACACGUGUUACAAUGGGGGGUACAGAAGGCAGCUAGCGGGUGACCGUAUGCUAAUCCCAAAAGCCUCUCUCAGUUCGGAUCGAAGUCUGCAACCCGACUUCGUGAAGCUGGAUUCGCUAGUAAUCGCGCAUCAGCCACGGCGCGGUGAAUACGUUCCCGGGCCU